rnacentral:hammerhead_ribozyme from 1 species
CUGACGAGUCCCACAUAGGACGAAACGCGCGUU